UUGAAAAAAAACUGGAAGAACUCGUGGAGGGGAGGCGAUAGACGAUUAGAAGAUUGUUUUCUCGUAACGCUGUAAAUGAAUGGAAAAAGAAAGAACGAAAGAACAACGCCCAAGUAUUAAGAGAGAAGAGAAAGAAAGAGAGAGAUCUAACCUAGGUGAGGGAAAUGGGGGAGGAAGAGGGCAUCGGCAAGGCGCUAGCUCCUGCGCAAGGGCGCAUCACACUGCUCCAGUACCGCGAUUGGAAGCAGCGCAAGGAUGCGGAGGCGGCGGCAGUGGCGGCGGAGCGAUCGCGCAAGCGGCGCGAGGAUAUCGCCGCCGGGCGCGCGCGGAUGAACGGGCGAGAGCUCUACGAGCGAGAGCCCUGGGUGUUUGACGACGGGGAAUAUGCCUGAUUCGGGAAUAUACUGCGGAUAUCCUUCUCACGGAAUAUCCACAUUUAAAAUAUCGUCACCGCCGUGCACGUACGGCACCGUCCUUUCUUUCAACGCUAGGGGCAGACGGGAUUGAAAUUUAGGGUUUGGCGCGAGCAGCAAGCCAAUCGAGGGAGCGUAGCGCGAGCGCCGGGGUGCCAGGGAAUGCGGUUGCGAGGUGAGUGGCGCGCGCGCUGCUGAGAUUUCUGGUAGCGGGGGCAGCGCGGCCAGAUUUGGAUUUGGCGGAGAUAAAAUUCUCUUCCCUGGAUUGCCAGUGCCGGCAGCUCUAGGUCUUGUUCAUGAGAACCAGGGCGCAGGCCUUGCUGUCCGAUGACGCAGAGGUGGAGCCGAGGAGGACAGGGACAGGCACAGGGAAAUCCUCGUCGCCAGGGUUGAUCAAGAAGAUCAAGCUCAAGAUCAGCAGCAAUGGCCGGUAUGGCACGCGCAGCGAGUCGCUGAGGGAACGGCAAGCGGCCGCCAAGAGGGAGGGGCUAAAGAUCGUCCUCAAGAGAAAAGCUCCAGAAGCACAGGAGGCACUGGUGAUCAAGAAGCACAAAAGGGGAAUUCACAGGCAGCAGCGGCUCCAUGGAGAAGAGAAGAGAGAUGAGGAGGAGGAGGACGAGGAGGAAGAGCAGGAGCGAAGUACACCCGCGCCCGAGACCAAAGCUCCUCCCUCGGCUGUGAAAAGCAAAGCUAGUCCGGCCACCGAGAAUGCGUCACCUUCUCGCGAGGAGACCAACAACACGGGUGGUGUUUUGGAGGAGGCCACGGCUGUGAAGGAGGAGGUGGCUGGAUCGGCUGGGCGGUUUUGCUGCACCGUCAACACGGAUAUGGUGGCCGAUCGCUCCGAAGCGAGCGUCUCGUCCGAGCCUUCGUGCUCGGCGGACUCCAAGAGCUCCAAGAAGCGUCACGCCGACGAGGAGCGGGCGAUGGACGGACAAACUUUAGUUGCGGUGACGGCUACGCGGACGCCGUUGUUUGUGCCUGCGAAACGAUCGCCGCUUCCGUUUCCUCUGCCGGCUGCAGUGCCUCCGGUCAUCACCGCGACGCCUACAGCAGCUCCUCCGGCCGUGAGAUCGGCGUUGCCAGCUCCGCCCGCCGUGCGGUCCGCGCUUCCGCUUCCCGGUGGAGACGAGACGGUGGAUGCCGAUGAAAAGGUGGUGUUUGACGAAGUUGACAUCCACGGCUUCUCGUCGGCAAUCACAGGCUCAGAAGUGCUACGGUUACGUCACGAUGGCCUGGUCGCUCAAUCCAGUGAAGAAGAUGGCCUCUCGCUGCCGGAAGAGGAGAUGCUGUCUCCAAUGUUCUUCGGCAACCCAUGGCACGACGAUGGCUCCAUGAGCUGCUUGCCGGAGAUGAGAAAGAAAGGCGGCCCUGGUUCCCGUGCGAUUUACCGGUGUAGCAGAUGCUUGGCACCAAAGAAAGGACACAGGUGUCCGUUCGAGACCGAGUCGCCGGUGGAGGAUGCCAAGCCAGAGCAGGUGCCACGACACGGUUCACAUAAGAAAGCGUCGGAUACCAGCACCUCAAACGAGCUAGAAUGCCAAAACACUGACCGUGCUAGUCCCUCCAAGUCGAAUGACACCCCGCCGGCUGAGACGUCGAUUCAGGAAGAAGAGACUUCCAAGCCCGGGAAGAGUAAGGCGGCGGCUCCUCCUCCGCCGGAUCCGGUGGUGAAAGAGUUCACUGUGUCGGCGAAGUGGCUGCUCGAGUCGGGAGUUUUGGAGGGCCUCACCGUGCGGUACAUGCCACGGCCGGGAGAGGUGUUAGGAAGUGGAGUUGUCAAGAGCGGUGUCAUUCUGUGCAAUUGUCGACAUUGUAAAAGCCACCAGGGUUUCAACGCGUCCUCGUUUGAGAAGCACGUAGGUAGCACUGCCCGGCACCCGAGCGACUUCAUCUUCCUAGACAACGGGAGGCGGCUUAGAGAAGUUUUGGAGGACGGGUCGAGGUUUAGAGACAAGCCAAACAUGAUGGGUGCGCUGCGCAAGGCCGUGUCCAUGGACUGGGAGGACGAUUCCUAGAGAAACAAUGGAGUUUCAAGCGUGCGCGUGUCAGUCUACUCUCAGGAAACGAGAAAGCUAGGAUUCGAGCCCCCCCUUACCUUCUUUAAGAGCCACCCGUGCAAAAGAAUUUCGUUUGUACUAGAUAUCGUUUUCCAGGACCUGAGAUGGCGACUGAAGUGUGGAUCCCAGCCUUGGAAGAAAAAAAGGCGAGAGAAGAGGGAGAAGGGAUUGAUCCUUCUCCACCACCACCAUCGCCACCACCAUCGCCACCAGCAAGGCUUUAGUGACGUCAAACACACAGUGAUGUCACCGCUAGAGGAGAGAAAUUCAAAGGUCGUAUGGUAUGGAUGGACGGAAAAAUAAGAAAAGAUUUCCUUUGCCAGGCA